CCACUGUAAUCACAAACCCAAAAGACUCCUCGUCCCCAAUCUCCCUCAAUCUCACAUUUCUCUCACCAGAACCCUCCUUCAAUUGCGUCUCUCCCAAACUCUCGUCUUUCUCACAACACCGCUCAAACAUCGCCUCUCAGACCUCUCUCUCGCGUACCCUUCGCUUACCCAUCACUCAACAACGUUAAGCAACAACAGCGUAAAUCCACGGUUUUACAGAGACCUCAAGCAGAAAUCUCACCUUCGAUGAGACGGCGAAUCAGUAAAAUUCUUAGAAGACUCAGUUGGUUUGGUUGAGGUUCAAUGGCUGUAGCAGGGCGAUCAUGGGAGUAGGGAGUGCUAAAGGAAUGCUCACAACUGGUCAUUGCAGGUGGUGUUUGGGCUGAAACCUGUGGUCUGCAAAUAUUGAUGGAACUUUGAAGAGCUGAGGCAUCAACAUAUGCAUAUACUAUUCCGGCCAACUCUAUAGUCAUACCUCCACCAACUUCAGGAGGCGUUGGUGCUUGGCUCUCUGGUCCAAAGUUUUAUUUGGACAAGCUCCUAUUUCUCUCCACUGAUUAUGGCUAACUUUCUCUGAUUCAAUCUUCUCCAAUGUGAUUCAAUCUUCUCCGUCACGGGGUGGUGAUGUAAAGGCAAUAGGAUUGUGUAUUUGAGAGGUUGAAUAUAAAAGGAUUCAGAACAGACUUAAUCUUCUGUCAUGGCCAUGUGUAGGUGUGUUUCUGUUUUGAUUGGAAGGAAGAA